ACCAGGGGUUCAAACAAGGUGUGGCAGGGACUGCCUACCUCUGCUCCGUAGUGUCUGGAGCCUCAGCUGGGAAGACUCAAAGGCUGGGGGCCAAUUCAAGGCCAUGAGGCUGGGAUCAUCUACAGGCUCAUCGCUCACAAGGCUGGCAGGCGGCACUGGCUGUGAGCUGGGACCUCAGUACAGCUGUCAGCCAGAACACUCACACUUGGCUGCUUCACACACUUGAGCUUCGUCACAGCAUGGCCACCUCAGGGCAGUCUUACACAGUGGCUCAUAGUUCAGGGCUCCCACUGUGAGUGUUCCAGCAAACAAGAUGGAAGCUGCAAAACCUUUUCCUACCUAGCUUCAGAAGUCACGGAGCAUCACUUCUGCCACAAUCAGUUGUCUACAAGCAAGUCAGAAGCCCACCUGGAUUCAAGGGGAGGGGAUAUAGACCUGGCUUUGCUUGGGAGGAUCAUAUCCACGACCCUAUGUGCAUUAAUUCUCCAUCCUAUGUGUCAGCAUUGUAGUAGGACUUUCCAUAUGUUACUUCCUAAUCUGAACAACAUCCCAAUGAAAGAUGGAUUGUUAUCUCCAAGCUACAGAUGAGAAGAGGGAGGCUCAAGAUGUGAGUUAAAUUGCCCAGAACACACUGCUAGUCUUCUCAUGGGGUCACGUGGAGAGGACCUGAAGAUAGAGGCUCUUGCUGUCAAUCAAGAAAUAUCUUAUCCCACAACCCAUGCCUGAUACAAAUAGGACUUUACCUAGCGUGUCUAAUAGAGCAACAAGUCACGUCCCGUGGCUCCAGGCCUGCAAUUCCACAGCAUACCAAAGUCAACCACAAGACUGCCUCCAACCUCACCCAAGUCAAGGGUGGAGGUGGGGCUGCUCUCUGCCCCCUGGGGAGGUAGACUCUAGGACCAAAUGGGUAUGUUCUUUGUUGAUUUCUCCUCCAGGGUUCUCCAGAGAGGUAGCAUUCCUGGAUGAUGGGGUACAGAGAGCUUUGAGAUUAACUUUCAAUAGAGCAACGCAAGCUCAGAUCUAGGGAAGAAUUGUCCACCUGAAAGCUGCUAGAAUAUUGGGGAAACAUCACUUCUUGCUAUUUAAUUCACUCAUCUGGGAUAAAAAGACAUCUCUUGGGGAUGACUUAGAUCAGUGGUGUCCAACCUUUUUCAGUAUGGAGAGCACAUUUUCAUCUGAAAAAAUUUAUAGACCUGCAGAUAAAGAUACUUAACGCUUUAGGAAUGCAUUCGUAGAGCAGUGCUUAAGAGCAGAGGCUAUCACCCUAAAAGGAAUUUGAAUGCUAUUAAUCACAACCUUCUCUAUAUAUUAUCCCAAAUCUGAGUUAUUGCUUUCACUCUGUGUUUCUGUAACUUUCUGUGCCUGUCUUCACCCCUGGACUGGAAACUCCAUAAGGCUGUGACUGGUUUGAUUUGUUCACUACCCACUGUAUACUCAGCACCUAGCACAGUUCCUGCACAAAGUAGGCACCUUAUGUAUACUUGUAGAAUGAAUGAAUAAAUACAUUGGAAGUGUCAGAAUAUAUGUACUUGAGUCAUGCCAUGAAGUCAACCUAUAGGUCCUGAUUCAUGCAAAUAUGGUGCUCGCAUGGGGUCCCAGGGUCCACAGAUUGGAAACCGUGGCUUUAGAUUUACAUCCUUGUGUCCAAUAUUUUGUUCCAUUUUCCCCAUAGGGAGCUUAAUGUUCAGUAGACCACAAACACCAGUCUCUGGGUUUAGAGACAAAUGAUAACUAAAGGCGGGAGCCUGCACCGCUUGACCUGCCUAAAUCCUUUCCAAAAUGGAAAGUCCAUGAAGAGGACAGAAUGCCCAGCUUAAAGGCUGGAACUUCCCAACAACCACGGAGACAGGGAGGUUGAUGACAGCUUCCUUCCACAGCCAGUUUCUAACAUUUGUAGGAGCAAAAAGUAAGGUAAUCUCUAAGAGCCUCUAGGCAAUCUAGUUGUUAUUUCAACCCCAAACAGCCUUGCAAAGGUACUUUGCCUGUUUCCUCUGUCAACCUAUUUGUGUGGAGUGUUGAUAACUAAAGUGACACACAGUAAAUACUCUGUGUCUUGUAAGGCAUUGGCUGGGAGUAGAGAUGAGUUGGGAAAUAUAGGAGUUGAAAGAAAGAAUGCUUGGUUUAAAAUAUGUGUAUGCAACAUGCCUCAUAGAGUGCGUGUAUUAAUAUUUAAAUGCUGACAUCUCUUCUCUCUUUAGACAACAGCUUUUUCUCUUGAUUCUCCCUGCUCCUCUGGAUAGUCUCCAAGCAAAGAGAGAGUGAGAUUCCAGGUGUGAACAAAUCAGGGAGGUUUCCUGCUUAAGAUUCAGAAAUUCGUAGCCCUGAGGAAAUGAGUAAAAGAGAGGAGGGGAGAGAACAAGAGAGAUGAAAAACAGAAUCUUCGCCACCUGCUAUUUAGUGAUUAACUCUCAGAUAAGGAAGGCAAAGAUGCAUUCCAGGGGCUCAGGACUUGCCCAGGCGGAACUCAGAGUGAAGGAGGGCUUGGAGCAAAGUGAGCCAGAGGUGGGCGGGGGAGACUGGGCCACUAAAAGCACCAUCUAUCAAUUUUCUCUCAAAGCCCCUCCAUUUCAUCUAGCCCCUUCCCUUCCAGCUCUUAAUAAUUUAAGUACCCUCUUUUUCAUUCACCCCUGCCUCACCUGCCUUGUUUUAUGUAAAGGAGUCUUGCAAAGACUAGCUCUGCCACUAACUGUGUGAACCCGGGCAAAUCACUUACCUUCUUAGAUACAGGUCUAGUGGCUGCUAUCUCUUGAGUUUAAAUCGCUUAAUCCAAAGCACAGGAAGGGAAGUCAACAAUAACAACCACCCAACCCAACAAAAAAUCCCCUAAUGCUGGGCGGCAGAAGUCCUGGGGAGUUUGCUGGUGAGCAGCCUCUCUUCUAGUUCUUACUUGCAUGCACACCAGGCUGAUUAAACCACGAUGGAAAGCUGGUGCUUAUCCAUUCCCUUACUGAGGAGCAGCCUGCUCAAUUGUGGUGUUUUGCUUUCUCGGUAGAAAGGGGUGGAAAUCAUUUUUGCAAAGCUUACUCUUCUUACCCAUGCAAAGCUUACAUGCAUGUGGCAUCUGUGGCCACAAACAUGACCCGGGUUCUGAGCAGAGGGGGCAGGGUGCUGUGUACUUGUCUGGGGUGCAAGGCGUCUUCCUCAUUAGCCUUUCCUGCUCCCUUUGUACUUGUGACGGAGAGUGUGUUGUCCUUGACAACCGGCAUGGGUUCAAUUUUUCCAACAUUGUGAGGUCAGCACGUUGGCUUUUAGCCUCUUAGAGCAGGUAAGAGCCAUUGAGCCUGGACAGAUACAAGAGCAAGUUACUAAUUCUUCCUGAUUUUCAUUUUACGCUGCUCCCAUAAAAAAUAACUGUAGAAAUUAUGCUGUGGUAGAAAAUAAAUACUCUGGCCAUUAAAAACUGGAAAUCACUAGCUUUGAAGUUUCUCCAAAAAAUACAGCCCCAGUUGCCGUGCAAACUCCAAUCAAACAUGGGCUGUAAAAAUCCAACUGUAGACAUUGCCUUGUAAAGUGUUCACAGAUGCAACAGCAGAAGAAAUUCUUACAGCCUAGAAAAAGCAAGACGUCUGCUUUUUUCCUUUCUUUCUGUCUUUUUUUUUUUUUGAGGGGAGAUGGAAGGGUUAUGCAUCAAACUGUUCAUUUCAAUAUGUAAUUUGCCUCAAAGAAUUUCUGACAAUUUAUUUUCUCACCAACCUAAAUCCAAUUCAAAAAACAUUUAUUGAAACCCGAACAAUCUACUUUUGGUUGACGAGUGCUAAUAGGUGCGAUGUUAUCCCAGUCAACUUAUAAGAUCACCUACUGAGCUUGGAGCUAAACAGGAAAAAGGAAAUUAAACUGGAGUUUGAAUUUGUUUCCUUCUAAAUUCCCCACCAUAGUUGGAGAUGGACAGUGCUUAAUGAAAAACAAAUUGCACUGUGGGCAUUUCUUUAUUUAAAAAAGCCAAUUUCUUUUUUUUUAAAGUUGGAAGAUGGUCACAUCUUAG